CUUGACCUCUUAAGUUCAUGAUCCACCUGCCUCGGCCUCCCAAAGUGCUGGGAUUACAGGCCUGGGGGAGUUUUAAAGCUUGUCAGGUGAUCCCAAUGUGCAGCCAAGGUUGAGGACCACUGCCCCGGGGCUCUGCGGAGGUCUGGUCCCACCUGGAGGGUGGCCUGAGCUGGCACCUCCCACACCCUGUCGCUCUCCAUGAUUUCCACCAGUGCAGUUCCAGGCCACAUCUUUGUGGGCAGCACCCUGUCAUGUCACUCAGGCAGAUGGCCUCUCUCUGUUACAGGCUUAAAUGCAAAACAAAUAAAGCUCAAGUGCAAGGACUUUAACUCUAUGAAAUGUUUUACCCUUUGUUUCAGCACAUCCAUCAAGCUCUUUUUUCAAUGCUGGCUUUGUCAAACAACAGACCAGAAAUGCUAAGGAAAUAGUUCAGCUUCCUGGGUCUUCGUUGAGAUCACCAAGAAAAAUGAAGAGACAGGUCUGAGGCUGAAGGCCACGGCCCGCUCCUGGAGACUUUUGGCCAAGCCGACGUGAAGUCUCUCAUCUUUCUCUCACAGCGUGGCCAUCCAGCCUGCCUGAUUUCUCCUGAGCAUACAAGUGCCUGGUCCACACGUCCACAAGGCAACGAGGAAUGCAUUGCCAAAUACCUGGCUGAAAUCAAGCUCACUCUUACGGAGCCGCAGCAGCCAGCUCCCCGGGGAAGGAGGAAGGCAGCCCCACAGAUAUAAGCAGCUUGGAGAGGAGCUUCCUGGCCAGAUCCUGGCAGGAGAUGGAGUUCUCCUGGCACAGCCGGCUUCCUGGCCACAGAGGCCCCAGAAUGGGAAGGCAGCAGGGCUGGGGCCUGGAGGAGGUGGUCGGGGAAGGAGAGGAACCAGGCUUCAACAGUGUAAGGGACCAUCAGCCAGAGACAGUGCAGGAGACGGCUAUGGAGAGGAAGAUACAAAAACUGGGCCGCAACUUAGGGCAGAGGUGUGAUGGGCAGAGCUGAGAGAGGCUGGGGAGACGGCUCAGGCAGGCAAGGCCCAAUUUUGUUUCGGGGUCUGGCAUGUGACCCUGGCCCAGGCCUUUCUUCUUGGAUGUCUCUGACAGAUGGAUCCAUCCUCUAGACCAUCCUUGGAAGGGGAGAGGGAUGACCCAGUGUCCCACAGGAAGCCCCUGUCCCCAGCCCCCACAUGGAAGACAGCAGCAUCCACAGAUGCAGCACAGAAUUGCUGGAGCCAGGACCAGCAGCUGGGAUGCAGAUGUGUAGGAGGAUUGCCGGCGCCUGGGAAACAGGACCACCCCUGUGCCUGCCGCAGCCUCUCUCAUCACAAUGCAAACCUCCCUACCCACAUUGCUUCUUCAGGGCACUGACAGAGGAUGCAGGAGGAGGAAACGUCACUUACCCUCUGGUAAUACACAUGGGCCAGGACUCCUGCCACCAGCUCAACCAGGAAGAUGACGAGCAACAGGCAGAAAUACUAGGAGCAAAGAGAGAAGACGGUCACCACUGGGAUCAGGAUGCUGCCAUGACAAAUGUUUCCCCACAGUGGUGGGGGUGGCAGAGAUACCUGCUGGGACCCCUAUCAUCCAUACCAUCUUCCUCCUGGAUGUACCAGCCUCACUGGCUGCCAGCACCAAGUUCCCCACUUACUCCUUCCCUCCUUGGUCUGCUGACAAUUCGGUAAUGCAUCCACUCAUCCAAUAUGUAUUAAAUACCUGCUACAUGCCAGGUGCCAGGUAGCGUAAGACAA